rnacentral:rRNA from 1 species
ACGAACGCUGGCGGCGUGUNUUAACACAUGCAAGUCGAACGCGCAGCAUUCUGUAGCAAUACAGGGUGUGGGCGCGUGGCGAACGGGUGCGUAACACGUGGAUAACCUUCCUUCAGGUGGGGAAUAACCCAGUGAAAAUUGGGCUAAUACCGCAUAACAUCGCGAUGGCACAUGCUGUUGCGUUCAAAGGCGCAAGUCGCCAGAAGAGGGAUCCGCGGCCGAUUAGCUUGUUGGUGGGGUAACGGCCCACCAAGGCUUUGAUCGGUAGCCGGACUGAGAGGUUGGCCGGCCACACUGGAACUGAGACACGGUCCAGACUCCUACGGGAGGCAGCAGUGGGGAAUCUUGCACAAUGGACGAAAGUCUGAUGCAGCAACGCCGCGUGGGGGAUGAAGCUUCUCGGAGUGUAAACCCCUUUCGACCCGGACGAAUGCCCGCAAGGGUUUGACGGUACGGNUAUAAGAAGCCCCGGCUAACUACGUGCCAGCAGCCGCGG